rnacentral:rRNA from 1 species
AUUGAACGCUGGCGGCAGGCCUAACACAUGCAAGUCGAGCGAGAGGCGGACGGGUGAGUAAUGUAUGGGGAACUGCCCGAUGGAGGGGGAUAACUACUGGAAACGGUGGCUAAUACCGCAUACUAUCGGAUGAACCCAUAUGGGAUUAGCUAGUAGGUGGGGUAAAGGCGCACCUAGGCGAAGCUCUCUAGCUGGUCUGAGAGGAGGAUCAGCCACACUGGGAAUGAUACACGGCCCAGACUCCUACGGGAGGCAGCAGUGGGGAAUAUUGCACAAUGGGCGCAAGCCUGAUGCGGCCAUGCCGCGUGUAUGAAGAAGGCCUUAGGGUUGUAAAGUACUGUCAGCGGGGAGGCGUUGCCCGCAGAAGAAGCACCGGCUAACUCCGUGCCAGCAGCCGCGGUAAUUC